UAGGGGAGCCUUCUUGUUAUAUUUUUCCUUGCACUUUGCAAUUCCUCGGCUCUCUGUGGUAUAAGGUAAUCUUGGUGCAUGAAAUGCACGCCUGACAAUUCUGCACUUAAAUUAAUAUGUAAGAAAUGUAGUAUUAAAAAAGGGCCAGAAAAGACUGAUUUGUUGUUGAAAGUGUUGUUUAAUGCAUAAUCAUUGAAAAGACUCUUCUACACAGAGAAGACAGGUUUCCUUGACAUAAAGAAUAGGCCUCGAUCCCGUAAUUAUUUUGGCAGGUGCUUAAUUCCCAAAGUGUGAGUUAUCCUAUGAAAUUCAAUGCACACAGUGAGACAAAGGAGUGGGAAGGGAGGAGGAAGGGAUUACAGAUGUUGAGAGAAAGGCAAGAGGAGCUUUCUGAACAAAUGGGACUGAAAGAGGGAUUGAAGGAGGAGAGGAAGGGCGAUUGGCGGAUAAGAAUAGGAAGGCAAUUCAGAUCUGAUGUUGAAUCAGCAUUUGCUGACAUGAAUGUGACACUAAUGGAAAGGAUUUGGGAGAAGAACAGUUAUAAGCUAAUAGAUUUGUUCUCUUCAAAACAUUCUGCAUGCAGGUAAUAACAUGUAUAGACUUUGUUUGUAAUAACUUAAAGUGACAUCUUUUGGUUUCAAAGAGAAUUCACGGUCAGAAACAAGGGAUGCCACACUCACCUGUUUUCCUUCAUCUUUUCUUCCUACUUGAAAUUUAUUUCUGGAAGUCAUUAAAAUUCAGAUCCCAUCAUUUGUAACAAAUGAUGUGAAGUGUUAGGUACAGUACUUGGAGUAUAUGUUUGUUGAAAUGAAGAAAGAGAUUCUUCCAACACUUUGGGAUUUUAUGAAUGAUUUACAUCUGGUGCUAAAGUUCAUAAAUGAAACGUGGGAGAACCAGAUGCUUCAUUUCUUGACUGCAUCGUGUCUGCACAUACUGAUGGUGAAUUGAAAACAGGAAUGUCUCAUAAAUCAGGAAAAUCUAUUUUUGUACUCUUGAUUUCUAUUCCGAACAUCCAUAUAACACCCAAACAAAUGUGGUAAAAUUGGUUCCUUGAGAAACCCUUUAUGUUUAGUAACAGUGUGGACAUGUUAAUAAAAAAAAAAAAAAAAAGAGAGAGAGAGAAAAAAAAAAGCAAGGGAACCAAUCUUCAGAAUAAAAAAAAAAAACACGCUCAAGAUGAGGAAAUGUUCUUAGAUAUCAGCAAGGAAGGCGGCAAACAGCAAGACUGAAUGGGACUGUUAGGCAAAUUCUGGCAUUUCUACAAAGAGUUGAGGUGUGUGAUAUGGAAAGAAUAGGGUGACAUUUCACAAGUCUUGAGGGGAGGAAGGGGAAGAAAUUAAAAGCUAAAUUGUUCCUUUUGUUACUGGCAUGAUAGCUGAAGGCAGAAUCUGGCCCAUAGUUUGAAUAGGAAGACUGAUGCUCACUAGGAGAGAUUUCCAAAGGGCCGAGUGAAAUUCGGAUUUAAAAAAAUAAAUCCAUCAGUGUUUUGGAAUGAUGCCUUUUCUCACUGACAUCGAUUGGCCUAAGAACUGUACAGUUUGUUAUUGUGCUUUGGCGUUGCCAGAUUUUUUGCAAAAAGGCUUUUAAAUAUCAUUUGUUGAAUUAUAACAAACGAAUGAGCAAAAGUCAAUGUGCCGAUUUGCUUUUUAAUAGGACUUAUAGAUUCAAGUUAGACCUACCCUACCCACUUCCAAAUAAAUAAAUAAAUAAAUAAAAUUCCUUGAUUUCAUAAUAUGUAUUUAUUCACAUGUUUCAAUUGAUUAUUCUACAGUUCCAAAAGUACUUGUGAGAAAUGGCAGGGUAUCAAUAUGUUUGAUUGAGCAAGUUGUGCAGGAAAAAGUUACCAUGUAGCAGCUGACGCGUGGUAGCUGCCCGUGUGCAUCCUCAGCCUCCAACAAGCAGCCGGCAGUUGGAGUGGGCUCGGCCCCCAGCACAGGUGGGUGAGGCGAGAUUGCCUCACCUUGCGAUUGCUGUGGGGGGAUAUUGAGCAUGCAGGCAGCUCCUGCAGCUCAGCAGAAACUUGUUAUCUUGUGGUAUCUUGUUUGUGUGUCUAAGCCAUGGAUGUGCAUGCCUUGCUAGUUCUGUUAACAAUUGAAAACAAAUGUUUAUUUAAAUUUAUUUACACAUCCCACACACAGAUUGAGUGUAGGUGUGUUGGCAGAAGUGAGACUUUAGGAAGGAUUUCAUAAAGGUGAAGGAAAUGGCUUAGCAGCCAGGUUUCAAGGAGACUCCCCAAACGCAAGGAGCAACAUGAGGCCGCGGAGGCAUUUGUGAUGGUAUCGAGGUAGGCGCUGCUGGCAGAGCAGGUGGAGUUUGUGAGGCAGGGGAACUGACCUCAGUUUCAGAGGUUGGAAUAUUGCUGAAGAUCUAAAUUCCACGUUACUUCAGAAGAUGAGCAUGACUGAAAAGUAAGCUAGCUAUGUUUUCCAAGAGCUGUUUGAUCCAAAGGGGGCAAAACCAUCUUAGAAACAUGAGAAAAAAAGAAAAGGAUAAUGGGCCAGUGUUCAAGACAUGGAUCCACAUUAUGCAUUCCACAAUGUGAUGUGUCAGAGCAAAAAGUCCUGAGUUGGUGCGUCCUCUAAUUAUUCUGGGUUUGUGCAAAAGUCAGUCCCAGAAGUGAAACUUGUGCAGACAACCCCUUCCUCAUUUACUUUGCUCAAUCUCAUAAAUGAUACCAACUAUCAGCUUUGCUUCCAGAGGUUUUCCAGACCUCUGCUGUUUCUUUUUGGUCUUCCUGUCUUUGUCUGCUAUUUUUCUCUAAGUCGACAUACUCAAAGCAGAGCCUAAGAAUGCGAAGAUUAUCCACUUCCAGUAUCUUCUCUUCAUGGACAGACUUGUAUAGUAUCUGCUGAUGAAUGACAGCUUAUUGUUCUUUCUCAUUAUAGUAACAUGUAAAUCUACUGACUGUGACUAGGGAAACUGGGAGCUUGUUUGCCCUAUAAACUUUCUCAAGUGCCUGCUGGAGGCACAGUGUGUUUCCCCAAUCACCGUGCUUCACCAGCAAUUUCUGAGAAUGCAAAACAAACAAAUAAUCCUAAUGUGCGUAGCAUGUUACAGGCAGGAAGGAUAUGUUUUAAUGUAAAUUGACUUAAAAGUUCUCAGUCUGAAUUGCCUGAAGUGGUUAGGAGUUAGCUGAUGGUGUAUAAUAGCUGCUCAGGCAUUUUUUCUUGCUUCUUGGUGCAGACAGCAUUGAUUGGCUGAGCUGAUUAUAGCCCUACACGUCAAAAAGGUGCAAGUUGAUCUUAACACUAGAAAAUCGGCUCUUGUGUGAGCAGGCUUAAUGCAUGAUAAGCUAUAUGGUGUAGACAUAAAUUUUAUGUGCUUAAAAUUGAAGUGAACUUUGCUUGUAUGACAUAUCCAUGUAGAUAUGGCCAAUAGCUGUUAGCUUCUGUUGCAGCUCUUAUUUAUUGCUUGUAGUUAAAGUAAAAAUCAGUGCCAUGCAAUUUUAUUCAAUUCAGGAGAAAAAAAAAAAGAAAAAAAAAAGAAGAAAAAAAAGAAACUAAUUGUCCUUCUGCCAAAGUUUAAGUGCUACAUUUUUUCAUUAGAAUUUAACAAAUGUUCAUCUUAAAAUAGACUGACAAUGGGUCAAACUGUUCCACUUUAUCUGUUAUGAACUUAAAUUUUUAUCAAAGCUAGUACUCACUCUUCCCAGAGCAAUUUGUAUUUUUGCUCCUGGAUUUAACUAUCAAAUUUUCCUUUGAAACUACUGUUUAGCAGACAUAGUAUCCUAAAAUAUUUGAAAAAGAUGACUGCUAGUCUUCCAUUUUCACCUCUUGCAUACAACAUGUUAUGUAGGUGUUUUGGGGUGUUGUUAUGGUUUGUAAAACUUUAUCUCUAAUGCAGAAGUGGUGUAUUCUUGGAUAUUCUUGAAAAAGGUAGCUGCUUCCUUGUCUGAGCUCUGACAUUCCUCUUUAUUUUGGCCAGCCAUAACCAUUCCAUGAAUGCUGUGAAUAAAAGUAAGUUUGGAAUAUAAACUAA